rnacentral:rRNA from 1 species
GGGGGGGAAGCGUUGUUCGGAAUUACUGGGCGUAAAGGGCUCGUAGGCGGCCAACUAAGUCAGACGUGAAAUCCCCAGGCUCAACCUGGGAACUGCGUCUGAUACUGGAUGGCUUGAAUCCGGGAGAGGGAUGCAGAAUUCCAGGUGUAGCGGUGAAAUGCGUAGAUAUCUGGAGGAAUACCGGUGGCGAAGGCGGCAUCCUGGACCGGCAUUGACGCUGAGGAGCGAAAGCCAGGGGAGCAAACGGG